rnacentral:rRNA from 1 species
AUUGAACGCUGGCGGCAGGCCUAACACAUGCAAGUCGAGCGGAUGAAGGUAGCUUGCUACCUGACUCAGCGGCGGACGGGUGAGUAAUGCCUAGGAAUCUGCCUGGUAGUGGGGGACAACGUUUCGAAAGGAACGCUAAUACCGCAUACGUCCUACGGGAGAAAGUGGGGGUUCUUCGGACCUCACGCUAUCAGAUGAGCCUAGGUACGAUUAGCUAGUUGGUGAGGUAAAGGCUCACCAAGGCGACGAUCGUUAACUGGUCUGAGAGGAUGAUCAGUCACACUGAAACUGAGACACGGUCCAGACUCCUACGGGAGGCAGCAGUGGGGAAUAUUGGACAAUGGGCGAAAGCCUGAUCCAGCCAUGCCGCGUGUGUGAAGAAGGUCUUCGGAUUGUAAAGCACUUUAAGUUGGGAGGAAGGGCAGUAAGUUAAUACCUUGCUGUUUUGACGUUACCGACAGAAUAAGCACCGGCUAACUUCGUGCCAGCCGCCGCAGUAA